UACAGAGGUCCCAAGCGUUGUUCGGAUUCACUGGGCGUAAAGGGUGCGUAGGCGGUCGGGUAAGUCUGAUGUGAAAUCUCCGAGCCUAACUCGGAAACGGCAUCGGAUACUAUUCGGCUUGAGGAUUGCAGGGGAGACUGGAAUUCUCGGUGUAGCAGUGAAAUGCGUAGAUAUCGAGAGGAACACCAGUGGCGAAGGCGAGUCUCUGGGCAUUAACUGACGCUGAGGAGCGAAAGCAUGGGGAGCGAACAGG
rnacentral:rRNA from 1 species